ACACAUGCAAGUCGAACGGAAAGGCCCCUUCGGGGGUACUCGAGUGGCGAACGGGUGAGUAACACGUGGGUGAUCUGCCUCGUACUCUGGGAUAAGCCUGGGAAACUGGGUCUAAUACUGGAUAGGACCGCACUUUAGUGUGUGUGGUGGAAAGUUUUUUCGGUACGAGAUGAGCCCGCGGCCUAUCAGCUUGUUGGUGGGGUAAUGGCCUACCAAGGCGUCGACGGGUAGCCGGCCUGAGAGGGUGGACGGCCACAUUGGGACUGAGAUACGGCCCAGACUCCUACGGGAGGCAGCAGUGGGGAAUAUUGCACAAUGGGCGCAAGCCUGAUGCAGCGACGCCGCGUGAGGGAUGACGGCCUUCGGGUUGUAAACCUCUUUCGACAGGGACGAAGCUUUUGUGACGGUACCUGUAUAAGAAGCACCGGCUAACUACGUGCCAGCAGCCGCGGUAAUACGUAGGGUGCGAGCGUUGUCCGGAAUUACUGGGCGUAAAGAGCUCGUAGGUGGUUUGUCGCGUCGUCUGUGAAAUUCCGGGGCUUAACUCCGGGCGUGCAGGCGAUACGGGCAUAACUUGAGUGCUGUAGGGGAGACUGGAAUUCCUGGUGUAGCGGUGGAAUGCGCAGAUAUCAGGAGGAACACCGAUGGCGAAGGCAGGUCUCUGGGCAGUAACUGACGCUGAGGAGCGAAAGCAUGGGGAGCGAACAGGAUUAGAUACCCU
rnacentral:rRNA from 1 species